AGAGCGAACGCUGGCGGCAGGCUUAACACAUGCAAGUCGAGCGGGCGUAGCAAUACGUCAGCGGCAGACGGGUGAGUAACGCGUGGGAACGUACCUUUUGGUUCGGAACAACACAGGGAAACUUGUGCUAAUACCGGAUAAGCCCUUACGGGGAAAGAUUUAUCGCCGAAAGAUCGGCCCGCGUCUGAUUAGCUAGUUGGUGUGGUAACGGCGCACCAAGGCGACGAUCAGUAGCUGGUCUGAGAGGAUGAUCAGCCACAUUGGGACUGAGACACGGCCCAAACUCCUACGGGAGGCAGCAGUGGGGAAUAUUGGACAAUGGGCGCAAGCCUGAUCCAGCCAUGCCGCGUGAGUGAUGAAGGCCCUAGGGUUGUAAAGCUCUUUCAGCAGGGACGAAGCGAAAGUGACGGUACCUGCAGAAGAAGCGCCGGCUAACUACGUGCCAGCAGCCGC
rnacentral:rRNA from 1 species